rnacentral:lncRNA from 1 species
CCCAGUUGUCCAACCCAACAUCCUUCCUUGUGGUAUUUAGUACAACUCAGCAAAGAGAAGGUCCUGUCAAGCUUGGCAAGAGCUGUGUCCAUGCGAUUUCAGGGUCAGAGCCGGACUGCAGCUGGCGUGGUGAAUGAUAAAAUUAAAAGUAGACAUCACCAUCUAAAUUCAUCAGCAGAAUGCACCGGAACACCAGGAAGGGGAUACGGGAGGAAGUCUCAGGGGCGUGCUACGGCAUCCAGCCUUUUACCACCAAAGAGCAGAAGGCUGAUACCUGCGGUCCUAAGCACAUCAGCAGCCUGGAGAGAGGGGUUAUCUGAGGACCCAGAGGGUGCCUGGACCUCCCCGCCUCCUCCUUGGCAGCGCGCCUGCGCACUCUCCACCUCUCCGCCUCCGUCUGGCGCUGGAACUGUAGCCUGAGUGAUGGGAAACGUGGCUUUGGGCCACUGUCUUGCUGCAUGACUCUUUCUUCACUACUCUGGUUACUCAUUCCGAAUAAAUAAGGAUCAGAGACCCA